rnacentral:rRNA from 1 species
UCUAGGCUAUCCUGCUAAUAAAAGAGCAGAGCUGCUACUAUAGGGCCUACCUUACCCUAAUAAUUAGGCCUAUAUUAGCUGCUAGGCUAUUAAGAAGUAAGAUUACUAAUCUAACGUUAGUAAUAUUAAUUACUAUAUAGUUAUCUAUUCUGCUAUUAAUAGUAAUAAUAUUAUAUAGAGAGUUCCCUCUAUACUGCUUAAUAAUAGAGCUUAUCUAAGCUAUUAUAAACUAUUUUAUAACCUCUAAGAGGUUAUAAUUAAGAGGGGUGCUUAGUUUAAAGGGGUUAUCUAGGUUAAGCGUAGGCAUAACUAAGUAGAAUAAGGAGUUAAUAAGAUUAGACUUAAUAAGAUUAGAAAGGAGGAUUUAAUUUAGUUACUUUAGUAGGUUUUAGGAUAAUUUGUCUAAACUAUAGGUUUAGUAGGUUAUAGGUAUAGUUAAUAAGAGAAUCCUAGAUUCUAUCUUAGCUGACUAUAUAUACCUAAUAAGCCUGCCUCUUAAGGUUAAAUACCUCUAUAGUUAAGAGUUCUUAACCUUAGUAGUAUAGACCUUAAGAGCAAAGCUAUCUCUAGUAAGUUAAUCUAGUAUUAAGACUAUACUAACCCCUAUAGUACUAUAUAUUCUUAAAUAAGCUACCUUACUAAGUUAAUAGCAUAAGAAUAAGGUAUAGUGCUUAUAUUAGGCUAACUGCUGUUGUUUUUUUUAUAUUAUAUAACUAAUCUUAACUAUAGGAUCUAAUUAGUUCUACGCUAGUUUAAUUAGCGGUCUUAAAUAGAACUUCUAUAAAAAGAAUACUAACGUAAUAGUUAUUAGUAACCUAUCUUAAAAUAUAGACUAAGGAGUUAACCUUAUAUAUAAGUGUUUAGAUAUUAAACCCCUAUACGUAAUAAAAGUAAAUAUAGGUAAGAGCUUUAGUAUAUUAUUAACUAAUCCUAAUGUUCUUAGAUAGAUUUAAGUAAGAGUAUAUAGGGUUAGACCUAAAAGAAGGUAAACUAUACGUAUGUAGGGUAAAGCUAGAGGAAACUCUAGUAGAGGCUUAUAGCAGUUCUAACAUAUAAAUUAAUUAUUAAAUAUACAUAUAGGGGUAAAAGACUAAUUAAACCUUCUAGUAGCUAGUUUCUACUAAAGUUUCCUUUAGGAUAGUAGUGUUAAACUUAGUUUUAUAAGGUAAAGUAAAUAAUUAGGGACUUAGGGGCGCUAUAUUACCUUUAUUUAUUCUUAAACUUUAAAUAUAUAAGAAGCCCUUAUUACUUAAUUAAAUAUAGGUAUUUAAAUAUAUUAACACUAGUAGGCUAUUUUUAGUAAGUAGAACUAGUAAUAUAGGAUAAACUAAACGUAAGGUUAAGGUGCUAAAGUAGUUACUUAUUAGAUACUACAAAAGGUAUUAGUAUAUCUUAAUAGUAAGAUAGUAGCUAUAGAAGUUAGAAUCUACUAAGGACUAUAUAAUAACUUACCUACUAAAUAUACUAGCCCUAAAAAUAGAUAGCGCUUAAGCAACUUACCUAUAUCUUACCCUUAGCGUAGAAAUAAUACGCUAAGGAGUAGGCAGACGUAGAGGUUAGUAAUAAAGCCUAGGGCGUAAGCCUAGGUAGAACAGCCUCUAGUGUAGAUCUUAGUAGUAGUAGUAAAUACUUUAAUAAGAACUUAAAGGACUAAAGUAGGGAAAGGUUCUAUAUAAAUAGCAGUUAGAUAUAGGUUAGUUAAUCCUAAGCUAUAGGGAAGUUCUAUUUUAAAGGGGCACUGAUACCCUAUAUAGCAAAAGGGAAGCUAGUUAAUAUUCUAGCACCUAGAUGUAGGUUUUGCGUAGUAACGUAACUAAACGUAGAGAUAAUAGUAGGGGCCUUAGGCAGAGUUCUUUUUUCUUCUUAACAGUCUAUUACCUUAAAAUUAGUUUGUCUAGAGCUAGGGUUUAACAGCUAGAAGAGCCUAGCACUUCUGUUAGGUCUAGUGCGCUCUUAAUAUCCCUUAAAAAUCUACAGGAAGGAAUAAUUCUUACGCUAGGUUAUACUUAUAACUGCAGCAGGUCUCUAAGGUAAACAGCCUCUAGUUAAUAGAACAAUAUAGAUAAAGGAAGUUAGUAAAACAGAUCUAUAACUUUAGGAUAAGGAUUAGCUCUAAGGGUUAGGUAUAUUAGGCUUUAGGCAGACAGCUUAGGAGUAGGUUACUACUAGCUAGGUAACUAGCUAGAGGCUUCUAGCAUCUAGGUUUUAACGCCUUUAGUAGGCUUUAGCUGUCUAGUGUACAGUUAAUAACUAACUUAGAACUAGUACAGAUAAGGGGAAUCUAACUGUCUAAUUAAAACAUAGUAUUAUAAUAGCUAGAAAGUAGUGUUAAUAUAAUGUAAUUUCUGCCUAGUGCUCUAAAUAUUAAAGUAAAGUAAUUUAACUAAGCGUAGGUAAACAGCAGGAGUAACUAUAACUCUCUUAAGGUAGCUAAAUACCUUAUUAUCUAAUUAGUAACGUAUAUAAAUAGAUUAAUAAGAUUCCUACUGUCCUUAUCUACUAUCUAGUAAAACUAUAGCUAAGGGAACAGGCUUAGCAGAAUCAGUAGGGAAAGAAGACCUUAUUAAGCUUAACUCUAGUUUAAUAUUAUAAAAAGAUAUAGGAGGUGUAGAAUAGGUAGGAGCUUUAGCGCUAGUGAAAUACUACUACUCCUAUUGUUUUUUUACUUAUUUAAUAAAGCAGGGCUAGAUUUAUAUCUAACUUCUAGUUUUAAGGUCCUUUAUAGGCUAACCUAAGUUAAAGACAUUAUUAGGUAGGGAGUUUAGCUAGGGCAGUAUAUCUAUUAAACUAUAACGUAGGUGUCCUAAGGGGGGCUUAUAGAGAAUAGAAAUCUCUAGUAGAACAAAAAGGUAAAAGCCCUCUUAAUUUUAAUUUUUAGUGUAAAUAUAAACUAUAAAAGUGUAGCCUAUUAAUCCUUUAGUCUCUUAAAAUUUAAGGCUAGAGGUGCUAGAAAAGUUACUAUAGGGAUAACUAGCUUAUAGCAGCUAAGCGUUUAUAGUGACGUUACUUUUUAAUCCUUUAAUGUUAGCUUUUCCUAUUAUACUAAAGCAGAAUUUAGUAAGUAUUAGAUUGUUUACUUACUAAUAGGGAACGUAAGCUAGGUUUAGACUGUUAUAAGAUAGGUUAGUUUUACCUUACUAAUAACCUUAUUGUAAUAGUAAUUAAGCUUAGUAUAAGAGGAACUACUUAUUUAGAUAAUUAGUUUUUAUAGCUGUCUAACUAGGUAGUGCUGCAACGCUACUAUCUGCUAGAUAAUAGCUAAACGCCUCUAAGUUAGAAUCUAUACUAGAACGUAAUAAUACCUCCUACACGUAUAGAUAGAUAUAAAUAGGCUUUAGCUUAGCGUCUUAGUAGGUAAUUACUUUACUGCUCUUAAAGUAAGUAGUAGUAUUU